UAAGCCGGGCGGCGGAAGUGGCCGGGGCGACGGGCCUGAGGUUUAGGAGUGAAGGAAGUGGCACUGGGUGACUGGCAGCAUCCUGGGAGGCUAUUCUCUGCAAACAGGGAUUCCAGGAAGGGGACAGCAGGCACAGUUGGAGGUGGGUCUACUGCAUCCAGUAAGCUGACCUUCCCCACUCCUGUCCACUCUUUGGCUCCCAAAGUAUUGGCAGCCAGGUCUAUAUGCUCCACGCAGGAGACUGGAAGACUCUUCCCAGGGAGCAUGACCAACCCAAGAGGAAAGACCUAGGGAUAUGGAUGGAGGUUCCCCAAAUAACAGCCUACCCAGAAUCAAGCUCAAAUUUGAUGAGCCCCACUCACAAACAGCCAUCUGGUCUACCAUUCCUCAUCACCAGCAGACAGACAAACAUAACCUGACAUCUCAGAGAGCUUCUUCCUGGAAGACAGAGCCAAAAGAAACAGGAAGAAGAACCCAGAGCACAGCAACAGAGCAGAAGCAUAGCACUUCACGCCUCCAGACCAGCGAGGACAAUCUCCCUGGAAGAUGAAGCAAGAAGACACCCUCCCCUUUCUAAAAAGAAGCAUUUGUACGAGAAGAAAGGGCUCCUGGAAAUGAACACUAUGACAGCAGAAACGAAAGCCUCAAUGGAAGAAAUCACACAGAAAGUGUCACCGGGUUGACGUGCGUUAUAACAAAAUAGCUCUAACCAAGGAGGUCAACGGAAGACCCGGACCAGCAAUCUUGGUUCCGCGAUAGUAAGCAAAGAAUAGCAAACUACCGCUUUAAGCUUAAGCAUAAAGCUAAGUCUAUUUAAGCAUAGGUACACUCCCAGAGAGGGGGAGAGAGAGAGGGAGAGAGAAAGCGGGCUGUUUCAGCGAAGUGAAGCAAGACCAAAGCAAAGUUUAUCAAAGCAAAGCGGGCCUCUCACUGUCGCGGCAUCUCCCGUUGCAGAGCACAGACUCCAGACGCGCAGGCUCAGCGGCCAUGGCUUACGGGCCCAGCCACUCAGCGACAUGUGGAAUCUUCCCGGACCGGGGCACGAACCCACGAACCCGUGUCCCCAGCAUCGGCAGGCGGACUCUCAACCACUGCGCCACCAGGGAAGCCCCCAGGCUUAAGGGUGCUUUUAAGGAGCAUUUUUCAGGGAGGCGGGGGCAAGUGACAGGGGAUCAUUAUUUGAUCGACAGUCCCAAGCUAUGUAACAAGUUUACUGCUGCGCAUUCUCUCAUCCUUCAAUCGCUAAGAAACGCCCACGGGGGCGGGGGGCAAAACCAUACAUGGAUUUUAUUAUAAUGAUGGUAUAAUGAGUUUGGGUUUACUAUAGGUUAUACACCUGUCUGGUCUGGGCAUGCGCAGCCCAGGGAAGUUCCCUUGUGUUACUGUGCCCCUCUUUAACAGGAUAAGCUGCCCACAAUAUGACCAUAGUUUCAACUGUUCUGGGUGGGGUCAGGGGAGAGUCCCCAGAUGGUUGGGUGUGACUCGAUUGCUUCUUCUCGUCUUUCUCGCCACUGUCACCUCCUUGCUGCUAAUGUCUGACUAACUACCUAACAAAAGGAGAGCAGAAAUGUAAAGGUGGGAAACAGGAGAGAACAUACGUGAGCAUUCAAGGGCCAGGCUCAAAGUCUGACAGCCUGAAUUAAGGACUUUAGGAAGAGGUAAGAGUAAACCCUCAAGAGUUUGCUUAGGGAUGAGUCAUCAGUAGAAACAACUGAUUAGUGAAAUAAUCAAUGACAUCAUUUGCCAGGAUUGAAGGAUGGGAGUUUCCAGACUGAGGGCCCUUUGAGUGCCCAACACAGUAACAACCGAGGGACAUGGAAGCACCACGUUGUGAAACUUCAGGAGAAGAUCUUAAAAACUUCCAGGGAGGAAAAUGUCCCCACUGCUUGUAAAGGAUUAGAAAUUAGAAUAGCUGUGGAUUUCUUCACAACACUCCUAGGAGGGAAGAGAAAGGGAGCAAUGCCUUCAGAGUUUGAAGGAAGGAGAUUCUGACCUAGAAUUCUAUGUCCAGGCAAACUACAAAUCAAGUAUGAGGGCAAAAUGAAGACAUUUUCAGCUUUGCAAUAUCUUUAAAAAAAUGAUCUCCCAGACACCUCUUUUCAGCUUCACCAAAACAGGAAAGUGAAUCCAAGAACAAGAAUAUAUGGCUGAGGAGGGCAACACAGGGAGCGAGAAGGGCUCCUCCUGGAGAAGGAGGAACACCCCAAACAGAAAGACUACUUACCCAGCCUGGGAGCUAGCUCCUCUCCCUGACUACCCUCACCCCACAGGGAACAGGUGGCCACGGAAAGUCCACGGAGGCACGGGUGCGCCGUGGUUUGGAGCAGCGGUACCCAAGUGUGGCUGAGAAGGAAUGAUGUGCCCUAACUGGGUUUACAGGGAAGCCUGAGGACCCUUUUAGCAGAAGGCAGGAGCUUUCUAAUCCCUGCAAGGCAGUAGGGGAGACCUGCGGGAACUAGAGGAAUUCUCCAGAAAUGCCGCAGGCUUGAAUAUGUCUUCCUCUCCUGAGGCCGGAGGGGGAGGGGGGACGUAAGACUUGUUUCUCCAUUUACCGUUUAUCUUGAACUUUGUACUUUAUGUGUGCUGCAUCCUGUGUUUGUAGACUUGUGACUGUGUAUAUACACACACACAACACACAAAAGUGUCGUCGCCUGGAGGCUUUCUCCCCGUCCCGCCCUGACAUCUCAGCACCCACCGUCCACGCGCUCCACCGGGUCGGGAGGUGACGGCGCUCGCCUCCGCGUCUGAAGCUAGGAGGCUCCUCCUCCGCCUUCUGGUCGCCGUCCCGUCUUCUUAGGAAGGGGACACAACCCGACUGGCCAGCCGGCCGCCCCGAUUCUCCCUCGGUGGGGACGCUUGCCCACACCGGCCGGUACCGGGGAAUACUCACGGACCCUUCUGCACUCGCCCUCGCCCUCCCCGGCGGCCUUCCGCUACCAUUCUAGGGCGUGGGCCAGACCCAUAGGGGCUGCCCCAGGCCCAAACCAGAGGGGCGCGCGGAGCCAAGGGGGGCCGACGCAGGGGGACAGCCUUGCCCCACGCCCCUUGCUCCACCUCCAGUCCCGCCUUCCGCCCCGCCCCGGGCCCCCUUCCUCU